UACGUAGGGCGCAAGCGUUGUCCGGAAUCAUUGGGCGUAAAGAGCUCGUAGGUGGUCUGUUACGUCUGCUGUGAAAUCCUAGGGCUUAACCCUGGGCCUGCAGUGGAUACGGGCAGACUAGAGGUAGGUAGGGGAGAAUGGAAUUCCCGGUGUAGCGGUGAAAUGCGCAGAUAUCGGGAGGAACACCGGUGGCGAAGGCGGUUCUCUGGGACGGUACUGACGCUGAGACGCGAAAGCGUGGGGAGCGAACAGG
rnacentral:rRNA from 1 species